UUUCCUUCCUUUUGUAAUCAGGGUUUUAGAUAACCAAACUUUCCUCUUAUUCUACAGUUUCUUUCAGAAAGGUGGAGAUGUGCAGAAGGGGCUGCAUGAAGUGAGAUGAAAUUUGGGGCAGCUUUUUAAAUUUAGAGAACAAGAAAGGACCCUGAAUUUGAUGCAUCCACAUCACAUCUGUUACCUGGAAUCCACAGUUUGUGAGCUCUGUUCCCAGUUGGGAGAAGUGAAGAGGAUCUGUGAAAACAAGGUCCAAGACCUUGAGAAGCAGUUCUACCUAGCUCAUUCUGAGACAGCAGAAGCUCAGACAGGCAGCACUCAGAAUUCCAAACUGAGGACCAGUGUUAUUUCGCAGACAAGAAAUACAGGACGUGGAAGCCCCAUGCAGGCAUCCCUGCAGUUUGCUGAGUGCCAGUGCAUCGUGCAGUGCCAGGAGCAGGAAGCCAUGCAGGCUGCAGCACACCUUGGAUGUGAGAGCGAGUGCCUUCCUGGGAAGUGUGGGCCCAGCCUCAGGAGCUGCAGGGCCCAGGCUACUCCUCAGCUUCUGCCUCAGGGAAGCUGCAGCACUCUGUGCCUCGGUCCCACCUGCUCUCUGCUGUCUGGCCACAUGCCCUGCACCUGCCCCGCUCUGCCCCCCAGAAGCCUACCAAGCUGGUCAUUUUGA
rnacentral:lncRNA from 1 species